UACUUCAUGGUGUAGUGGAAUCACAUCUGUCUAACAUACAUAAGGUCCCGAAAUCGAAACUGGGUGAAGUCA
rnacentral:tRNA from 1 species